UUGAUACUGUAUGACACCAACUGCUCAGGCUCUGUGGUGUAGCUGGCCUUCACGGAGAGGCUGGACUCGCUGUCUAAAGGAGAGACGCAGCCGCUGGAGCACUGCCUCUCAGACAGCUGCAUGAGCUUUUAGCUCAGCAACUUGAAGCCUGGGUAGGUGGGGAAUGCUGAGGGUCGGACGAGGAUUGAGAAUCCACAAUUCUGAGGAGGCCAGAAAUCUGUUUUCUGAACUUUCAAGGGAGAAACGCUUAGCAUUUGGAGAUAAUCCUAAGAAAUGCUGGAAUAUAGUCUCUUUUCUUGCUACAUGAGAGGAGGAAGCUGGAACUUCAUGAGGUUCCUCAUGCUGGAGGUGGAAGAGUCUGGAUCAGGAGAGAAGGGAAGAACGGAUAUUCUUCUGGACUUCUCUGUCCCCUAAAGGGUCACAUUUGACAGACCGUUUAACCUCCUCAUCUGACAAUCAUCUGACUGGGCUCGUGCUGCUCAUUGGCAGGAUUACUAAUCCCACAAAUUUCUAGAUAUGAGAAAGUGCACUGUUCAUUCUGUCUUUGUUCAUUUACAGUGUUUACCUACUGAACAGGAUAGCUUAGGUUUGACUUUUUCCAGCAUUGUUGCAUUUCACAAGAGGAGAAAGUCACAUUUCCAGUGAGUUCAGAGAAGUGAGUGAAUAUUGAUUUUCAAACAUUAUGAGAUAAUUCAUGGUUUAUUUCUCCAUUUUCGCAAAAUGAUGAAAAGGCAUUCAAUUGGCUGCAAUUUAUCCCUGUGACUGAAUCACUGCUAUCUGGUAAAAACAUAAAACAUUUUUUCU